GGGCUGAUAGCUCAGUCGGUAGAGCAGAAGACUCUUAAUCUUUUGGUCGCGGGUUCGAAUCCCGCUCAGCCCA
rnacentral:tRNA from 1 species